rnacentral:rRNA from 1 species
CCUGGUGGCGAGUGGCGAACGGGUGAGUAAUACAUCGGAACGUGUCCUGUAGUGGGGGAUAGCCCGGCGAAAGCCGGAUUAAUACCGCAUACGCUCUGCGGAGGAAAGCGGGGGAUCCUUCGGGACCUCGCGCUACAGGGGCGGCCGAUGGCAGAUUAGCUAGUUGGUGGGGUAAAGGCCUACCAAGGCGACGAUCUGUAGCUGGUCUGAGAGGACGACCAGCCACACUGGGACUGAGACACGGCCCAGACUCCUACGGGAGGCAGCAGUGGGGAAUUUUGGACAAUGGGCGAAAGCCUGAUCCAGCAAUGCCGCGUGUGUGAAGAAGGCCUUCGGGUUGUAAAGCACUUUUGUCCGGAAAGAAAACCUCCGCCCUAAUAYGGUGGGGGGAUGACGGUACCGGAAGAAUAAGCACCGGCUAACUACGUGCCAGCAGCCGCGGUAAUACGUAGGGUGCAAGCGUUAAUCGGAAUUACUGGGCGUAAAGCGUGCGCAGGCGGUCCGCUAAGACAGAUGUGAAAUCCCCGGGCUUAACCUGGGAACUGCAUUUGUGACUGGCGGGCUAGAGUAUGGCAGAGGGGGGUAGAAUUCCACGUGUAGCAGUGAAAUGCGUAGAGAUGUGGAGGAAUACCGAUGGCGAAGGCAGCCCCCUGGGCCAAUACUGACGCUCAUGCACGAAAGCGUGGGGAGCAAACAGGAUUAGAUACCCUGGUAGUCCACGCCCUAAACGAUGUCAACUAGUUGUCGGGUCUUCAUUGACUUGGUAACGUAGCUAACGCGUGAAGUUGACCGCCUGGGGAGUACGGUCGCAAGAUUAAAACUCAAAGGAAUUGACGGGGACCCGCACAAGCGGUGGAUGAUGUGGAUUAAUUCGAUGCAACGCGAAAAACCUUACCUACCCUUGACAUGUAUGGAACCUGGCUGAGAGGUCAGGGUGCCCGAAAGGGAGCCAUAACACAGGUGCUGCAUGGCUGUCGUCAGCUC